rnacentral:rRNA from 1 species
AUUGAACGCUGGCGGCAGGCCUAACACAUGCAAGUCGAGCGGAUGAAGGGAGCUUGCUCCUGGAUUCAGCGGCGGACGGGUGAGUAAUGACUAGGAAUCUGCCUGGUAGUGGGGGAUAACGUCCGGAAACGGGCGCUAAUACCGCAUACGUCCUGAGGUAGAAAGUGGGGGAUCUUCGGACCUCACGCUAUCAGAUGAGCCUAGGUCGGAUUAGCUAGUUGGUGGGGUAAAGGCCUACCAAGGCGACGAUCCGUAACUGGUCUGAGAGGAUGAUCAGUCACACUGGAACUGAGACACGGUCCAGACUCCUACGGGAGGCAGCAGUGGGGAAUAUUGGACAAUGGGCGAAAGCCUGAUCCAGCCAUGCCGCGUGUGUGAAGAAGGUCUUCGGAUUGUAAAGCACUUUAAGUUGGGAGGAAGGGCAGUAAGUUAAUACCUUGCUGUUUUGACGUUACCAACAGAAUAAGCACCGGCUAACUUCGUG